rnacentral:tRNA from 1 species
GGCCCAUUGGUGAAGCGACUUAACACAUGCGCCUUUCACGCGUACAUUCAUGGGUUUGAAUCCCGUAUGGGUCACCA